UACAGAGGUCUCAAGCGUUGUUCGGAUUCAUUGGGCGUAAAGGGUGCGUAGGUGGCGUGGUAAGUCGGGUGUGAAAUUUCGGAGCUUAACUCCGAAACUGCAUUCGAUACUGCUGUGCUUGAGGACUGGAGAGGAGACUGGAAUUUACGGUGUAGCAGUGAAAUGCGUAGAGAUCGUAAGGAAGACCAGUGGCGAAGGCGGGUCUCUGGACAGUUCCUGACACUGAGGCACGAAAGCGUGGGGAUCAAACAGG
rnacentral:rRNA from 1 species